GUUAACUGGUUAGAUGUGAUCCUGGUGUUUUUAUGUUUUGUUGUUUCUUCUAUUGUAUUAGAACGAUACAGAUUCAAUAGAAGAUUGAAGAAACAAAUUGAACUGCUGAGGAGAACGUCAGUACACCACGAUUUACUUGUGAGCAGAUUGUCCCCCUUUCUCGAGGACUGCCGAAGCAAGAAUUCAUGUAUUGAGAUGCCAUUGAGGAAACUUAACAGGAAUAUAAAUAAAUUGGUCACGGAAAUUGAAAACCACACUACUGAACUGGAAAAGAUUCAGUCCCAGUUCACAUCGUUCAAAGGAGAUUGGUUGGAACAGUCCAAACCACACAAUAAUACACCAGAAAGUGUUUUAGUAGCCAGCAUUGAAGCACCACAGAUAGCAAGCGAACUUGAUAAUUUAAGAGAUUAUAUAGGAAAUGCAUUGGAAAAAUUUAGAUCUGCUAUGGAAAACAAUAGAUCUUCAUUAGAUACAGCAAAAUCAGCUGUUGAACAGUUGCUGAUCUCAGAAGG